rnacentral:misc_RNA from 1 species
CUCCAGUUGUAUGGACCAUCUUGUCUUGUAGAGUUUUGUGUUUAUUCACCUUAAAUUCAACAAGACAAGAUGGUCCAUACAACUGGAGCAUUCUUACUUUAAAACAGAACGCCUUUUCAAAUUUCUGUAUGUUCUAGAAAGGUUCAGCUCCUAGCCCAGCUAAAGAAGAGGCCACAUGUAAAACAUGAGAAACUAACAGACAACUCACUGUGCACGCCGGCGCUUUUUAGCAAGAUUUUCAAAUAUCUGGUGGACAUCAGAUGAUGUGAUCGUUUUUGAUGUGUCAAACGACUCCAGAAAAGUUCGAAACUCCUCCUUAAAGUCUGCAAUGCCAUUCAAUAUCUCCAUCUUCUCUACAUGACCCAGUUUGUUGAAAAGGCUCAGCUCAUCACCGUCCUGCUGCUGCAACUUUUCUUCCCUCUUCUGCUUUGCCAUUUU